GAUGAACGCUGGCGGCGUGCCUAAUACAUGCAAGUCGAGCGAACAGACGAGGAGCUUGCUCCUCUGACGUUAGCGGCGGACGGGUGAGUAACACGUGGAUAACCUACCUAUAAGACUGGGAUAACUUCGGGAAACCGGAGCUAAUACCGGAUAAUAUAUUGAACCGCAUGGUUCAAUAGUGAAAGACGGUUUUGCUGUCACUUAUAGAUGGAUCCGCGCCGCAUUAGCUAGUUGGUAAGGUAACGGCUUACCAAGGCAACGAUGCGUAGCCGACCUGAGAGGGGGAUCGGCCACACUGGAACUGAGACACGGUCCAGACUCCUACGGGAGGCAGCAGUAGGGAAUCUGCCGCAAUGGGCGAAAGCCUGACGGAGCAACGCCGCGUGAGUGAUGAAGGUCUUCGGAUCGUAAAACUCUGUUAUUAGGGAAGAACAAAUGUGUAAGUAACUAUGCACGUCUUGACGGUACCUAAUCAGAAAGCCGCGGCUAACUACGU
rnacentral:rRNA from 1 species